UGCUCAGGACGAACGUUGGCGGCGCGCAUAAUGCAUGCAAGUCGAACGAAGUCCCACCCUUCGGGGUGAUGACUUAGUGGCAGACKGCUGASUAACACGUGAGUGAUCUGCCUUUGGGUGAGGGACAACAGAGGGAAACUUCUGCUAAUACCUCAUACGAUCCAAGAUCUAGGGUCUUGGAUGAAAGGUGCCGGGUAACUGGUUGCCGCCCUUAGAUGAGCUCGCGGCCUAUCAGGUUGUUGGUGGGGUAAUGGCCUACCAAGCCUAAGACGGGUAGCUGGUGUGAGAGCACGACCAGUCAGAGGGGGACUGAGACACGGCCCCCACUCCUACGGGAGGCAGCAGCAGGGAAUCUUCCACAAUGGGCGAAAGCCUGAUGGAGCGACGCCGCGUGAGGGAUGAAGGCUCUAGGGUCGUAAACCUCUUUUCUUAGGGAAGAGUAAGGACGGUACCUAAGGAAUAAGUGACGGCUAACUACGUGCCAGCAGCCGCGGUAAUACGUAGGUCACAAACGUUGUCCGGAAUUAUUGGGCGUAAAGGGUCCGUAGGCGGUUCUGUAAGUCUCCUGUGAAAUCUUCAGGCUCAACUUGAAGAGGUCGGGGGAUACUGCUGAACUUGAGACUGACAGAGGCAAGUGGAAUUCCCGGUGUAGUGGUGAAAUGCGUAGAUAUCGGGAGGAACACCAAUGGCGAAAGCGGCUUGCUGGGUCAGUUCUGACGCUGAGGGACGAAAGCGUGGGUAGCAAACCGGAUUAGAUACCCGGGUAGUCCACGCCGUAAACGAUGAAUGCUAGGUUUUCGGGGUAUCGACCCCCUGGGAGCCGUAGUUAACGCGAUAAGCAUUCCGCCUGGGGACUACGGUCGCAAGACUAAAACUCAAAUGAAUUUGACCGG
rnacentral:rRNA from 1 species